GAUGAACGCUGGCGGCGUGCCUAAUACAUGUAAGUCGAGCGAACAGACGAGGAGCUUGCUCCUCUGACGUUAGCGGCGGACGGGUGAGUAACACGUGGAUAACCUACCUAUAAGACUGGGAUAACUUCGGGAAACCGGAGCUAAUACCGGAUAAUAUAUUGAACCGCAUGGUUCAAUAGUGAAAGACGGUUUUGCUGUCACUUAUAGAUGGAUCCGCGCCGCAUUAGCUAGUUGGUAAGGUAACGGCUUACCAAGGCAACGAUGCGUAGCCGACCUGAGAGGGUGAUCGGCCACACUGGAACUGAGACACGGUCCAGACUCCUACGGGAGGCAGCAGUAGGGAAUCCUCCGCAAUGGGCGAAAGCCUGACGGAGCAACGCCGCGUGAGUGAUGAAGGUCUUCGGAUCGUAAAACUCUGUUAUUAGGGAAGAACAAAUGUGUAAGUAACUAUGCACGUCUUGACGGUACCUAAUCAGAAAGCCACGGCUAACUACGUG
rnacentral:rRNA from 1 species